GUUGGACGUAGCUUAAUUGGUAGAGCCUCUGGUUGUGACCCAGAAAGAUGCGGGAUCGUAGCCCGUCGUCCACCCCA
rnacentral:tRNA from 1 species